rnacentral:rRNA from 1 species
AUUGAACGCUGGCGGCAGGCCUAACACAUGCAAGUCGAACGAGUGGCGGACGGGUGAGUAAUGUCUGGGAAACUGCAUGAUGGAGGGGGAUAACUACUGGAAACGGUAGCUAAUACCGCAUACUAUCAGAUGAGCCUAAGUCGGAUUAGCUAGUUUGUGGGGUAAAGGCCUACCAAGGCGACGAUCCGUAACUGGUAGGAGCGGAUGAUCCGUCAAACUGGAAUUGAGAAACGGUCCAGACUCCUACGGGAGGCAGCAGUGGGGAAUAUUGGACAAUGGGCGAAAGCCUGAUGCAGCCAUGCGGCGUGUGUGAAGAAGGUCUUCGGAUUGUAAAGCACUUUAAGGUGGGAGGCGUUACCAACAGAAUAAGCACCGGCUAACUUCGUGCCAGCAGCCGCGGUAAUAC